GAGUGAGUAGUCCAAGAAAGACAGCUGAUUUCGACUCAGCAGAUUAUGGUUUAAACCCAUACCCCCUCU
rnacentral:tRNA from 1 species